UUGUGUUAGCUGCUGUUUCCAGCCUUAAUCCCCAAACGUGAGUCCAGACCGGCAGCGUGGACCAGGUGAGGAUCUCACACCUCCACCAGGUGAGGACCACACAUCUCCACCAGGUGAGGACCACACACCUCCACCAGCAUGCUGCUGUUCCCAGAGGCCUGCUACAGUCUCCCCCUGGUGGUUGUUCUGAGGUGGUGGUCGAGAACGUACAACAAGAAUCUUCAUCUACGUUUGUAUAAAAUGUCCUCGGGACGAGAUUUUUCCACCUGUUUGUUCGAAGAGGAAAGAAAAGCUGAGUCAUGAUUCCAGUGAAGUCGGUGGAAGGAUGUUUAUUGAGCAUUAAAGAAGAGACAAGUAGAAACAGAACUUUUCUCUCUGAGAUGUUUUUCUUCUCGUUACAUCUGGUUUGUCACAGAGGAAAUGAUCCAUGUGUUUGACUCAUAGACUGAAUAUAAAGGCUUUGACUGGGAUGUGCUGCUGUUAUACUGCAGCGCCACCUGUGGGUCAAAAGUAGAAAAGCCACCACCGCUCUGCACCUGAUGCAGAAAUGAAAACGUCCCAUUUUUAAGUCCAGAGUUUUGAUCUUUUGUGUCAAAGACAAAACUCUGAUUUUAAACUCAAAGUGAUUUCAAUGUGUUGAACUUUGUGUUGAACUAAAUAAA